UACGUAGGGUGCGAGCGUUGUCCGGAAUUACUGGGCGUAAAGAGCUCGUAGGUGGUUUGUCGCGUUUGUCCGUGAAAGCUCACAGCUUAACUGUGGGCGUGCGGGCGAUACGGGGCAGACUGGAGUACUGCAGGGGGAGACUGGAAUUCCUGGUGUAGCGGUGGAAUGCGCAGAUAUCAGGAGGAACACCGGUGGCGAAGGCGGGUCUCUGGGGCAGUAACUGACGCUGAGGAGCGAAAAGCGUGGGGAGCGAACAGG
rnacentral:rRNA from 1 species